UUAUCGCGCCCGAAGAGUGAUUAGUGUUUUGCAUCAUAAAAACGUUGACAACUAUAAAUAAAUUACUAUUUUACGGUAUUUUUAAAAUAGAAAACCUAUUGCUGCCAUUUGUGGAACAUUUCAACUGAUUUAAUAGCGAAAGUUGCUCAAAACUACGGUGUGUGUUCGUUUACCUUUCAAAAAUGGGUCAAUUUUUAAUUACCAGUUAAUUAAUCGUCUCUGCAAAUUGAUUUUCUUGAGCUACCAACUGUGAAAUAAUGGCAUCUCUAUGGGUCGGUUCAGAAACAGAUUUGCCCACUUUGCAGAAGUGCAGAAUGGCAGAUAGGUUAGAAUUUCGGUUGACCUGUUUACACAAUAAAAAGCAUCUGGACCAAGACAACAAAUUUGAGUUAAUGGAAAGCAAAUCUUUGGAAGAGGAUAGUGAAAUUAGCAGAAGACAAAGUCGAUCAGGAACUUGGCCGAGAACCAGAUCUUUGAACGCACCAUCACCUGUUCAACAAUUUGGACCAUGUGGCCGAAUAAUGAAAAAUUCUUCUAUGGUCAUGACCAUACAAGAUCCUGCUAGUCAAAGACUGACUUGGUACAAACCACCUUUAACAGUACUUGUGAUAAAAAAAGUUCGAGAUGCGAGCGUAUAUUCACCAUUUGUUCAACUUGUCCAAUGGCUCAUCAAUGAAAAACGAAUGGUCGUGUUCGUGGAAGCAUCCGUAAUGGAGGAUAACCACUUAGAAAACUAUAAGUCGUUCGCGAACAUCAAAGAAAAACUGAUGACUUUCAGAGAUGGCAAAGACGAUCUCACCGACAAAAUAGAUUUCAUAAUUUGUUUGGGAGGCGACGGAACUCUUCUCUACGCCAGCCAGUUGUUCCAGCAAUCAGUUCCUCCAGUAAUGGCAUUCCAUCUUGGCUCUCUAGGUUUUCUCACACCAUUCCAGUUCGAAAAUUUUCAAGAACAAGUUAAUAAUGUUCUCGAAGGUCACGCAGCUUUAACGUUAAGAAGCCGUUUGAGGUGUAUAGUGAUGAAAAAGGGCGACGGUCAAAACAAAUCAAAUGACAAGCCAACUAAAGUUCCUACAAACGUUUUGGUAUUAAAUGAAGUAGUUAUUGAUAGGGGUCCCUCACCUUAUUUAUCAAAUAUAGAUUUAUUUUUGGAUGGUAAACAUAUAACUUCAGUACAAGGCGAUGGUCUAAUCGUCAGCACACCAACCGGAAGUACCGCAUAUGCAGUAGCAGCAGGGGCUUCGAUGAUCCAUCCCAGUGUACCUGCGAUUAUGGUAACUCCGAUUUGUCCUCAUUCCCUUAGUUUUAGGCCAAUCGUGGUUCCUGCUGGAGUAGAGCUUAAAAUAUCAGUGUCUCCAGACAGUCGAAACACUUCAUGGGUAUCAUUUGAUGGAAGAAAUCGGCAAGAGCUCGUACAUGGAGACAGUUUAAGAGUAACAACGUCGAUCUACCCAGUUCCCAGUAUAUGUGCUCAGGACCAAAUCUCAGAUUGGUUCGACUCGCUGGCAGAGUGCCUUCACUGGAACGUCAGGAAGAGGCAGAAACACUUGGACGAACUAAAUGACCUCACGCAUUCAAGCUCCAACGAUACCUUAGAUUCCAUAGAAAGGGACGUCUUAGAAAAGGAAGAAAAGUCAUAAAAAUGUUUUGUUUUCAGUAAAUCGUUCGGAAAGGGAAUCAUGUGCACAAAUUUUUAAAUGUUUACAACUUUUAUCAGUUUUAUUACGUUUUUAAGAGCAAUUUUAAGCGGUUAAUAAAGACAUAUUUUGAUUAUACUUUCUCAUAUGUGUUUUAUACAUAUGUUUUGUUAAAUUGGACACUGAUGAAUAAAAAUGUUGCGUAAAAUGUAAUGUUUAAGGUUCUAGAUAUAAUAAUGGUUACCAUUGAAUGCUGGAUAUCAAAUAAUUGAUAUCCGUGCCAAAAGUUUUUUAGAUUCGAAAACUUUUCAUUUAGGUUUUUAGACAAUCACCAAAAAAUACAUUGGACUCAAAGUUUCUGUAGUAUAUAAAGAAAAAUGCUUACAGUUGAGUCCCCGAGUCUUUACCCGUGCGUCAUUAUUUAAAGCAUACGAAAUAAGUCGGAAAUUUACUAAAGGCAACAGUAAGUGACAGAAAGUGGCUAUUAUUCCGAUCACGGGUUAUAGUAUAAAAUUUGACGUUAUCAAAUAAAUAGAAUGUCAAAUUUAAGUUUUGCUUUAAAAUUUUGGUGCAUAAUUACAGCUACAUUUGAAGUAGCUUAAUAAAUUAUUUUAUUAUCAUUGAUUAAUAAAUAAAUAAACAAUUUAUAAAAAAAGUCGGAUAACAUAUUUUCUUUUUGUUAUUUUACUCACUUUGGCGGAAUAUUAAACACAAGCAUUCCUUAACUGUGUCAACGAUGAGGUUAUUUGUACGUUGUCAAAAUUUAUCGUAAAAUAACAUAAACUUAUCAUAAAAUUUCUAAUCAAGUAUAUUCAAAUGGGAAAUAAGCCACAAUUUUACCUAAAAAUGAUUUUAUUAACGUUUUUAAGUCGUCUACUUUAAAAUGUAUAAUACGUGUCUGAAUUGCCGAUAUAAAUGAGUCAGAUUAAAUAAAUUAUUAGAAGAAUUUUUUACUAAGCAACAACAUUUUUAUUUAUUUAGUAUUAUUUUGUAUUUUGACAACGACACCCGACUUGGGCGUCGAAACGUUAAUAAAAUCAUUUUUAGGUAAAAUUGUGGCUUAUUUCCCAUUUGAAUAUACUUGAUUAUAAAAAUGCCACAAGAAAAUAGCUUCAGAACAACAUAAAAUUUCUAACUCCAAUAUAAAAUUAGUUGUGAAACCAACUGUUUGUAUACUAUAAAAAACUUCAAAAUGCAAAAAUUCGACAAAAUAACAGCAAAAAAUUCGACAAACUGACAGCCACAAAAGUAAACAAACCAAAACGUCAGAAAUUGUACUUAAAAUAUGUGAAAACAUCCCCAAUCGUCUUUCUUUGUACUUAUCUCUUUUCAAUGCACUGAGUCUAGAUCGUUCAUAAAAUUAACAUGUGUUUUUACUUAAUAACAGGCGACAGCUGGUUUGUCAUUAGUUUCAUGCGUGGAAGAGAAUGAUGCUAGAUAAAAAGUAUGUGUUUUAUCUCGCCAGGUAUUAAUGACGCACGGGUAAAGACUCGCGGACUCAACUGUACAUUAUUGCCUCUACUGACUAAGAAAAUCUAAUAAGUUAAUCAUCAUCAUCAACAGUUAUUCCAUCUAUCGUAAGAUGUAAGCGUUCCUUAGUACUUCUUAAUUCAUUGCUGUUCGUUAUUUUUUGCAUCUAUUCGUGACCAGCCAUUGGCUUGAUGACAGUCCAUCUGGUUUGAAGUCUGCCUCUACUUCUCUUAUUUAAUUGGCACAUCUCAGAUCUUCAGGUUUUCGCCUGUAUCGUCACUCCUUUAUUUGCCCAUUCUAAAGUUCGAAAUAGAUCUUCUAGAGCUAAAGUAAAUAGGAAUUAGGAGAAAAAUAUAAACAUUUUUCUAUACUUAUACCCUGCUUCUUCUUCUUCUUAAGGUGCCGAGACCGCUUGUCGAUCGUUGGCUCUCAUGUUGCCCAGCAUAUUAAUAAUCAUUGUGUUUUUUACCCUGCUAUACAUAUCUUAUUUGGAUCGGUCUGUACUAUUACUGUAUAUAUACAGCGUAUUAUGCCUGUGGGUUCCCUCUCUAUCCCAACAGGCGUUGUCACUUCACACACAUCUUAUGGAAAAUAUAAUGUCACUCAAAUUCAAUAAAAUGUAUACGAGUGGAUUCGUUUUAAAUUAACGGUCAAUUCUUAUCAUUGCGCCAACUCUUAAUUAUGAUUAAUUACGGCGCAAAUUGCAAUUAAGGUUUAUCGAAAUCACAUUUUUGGAGUCUAUAAACGUGUCAGUUAUAAUCACUAUUGCUCUGGGUGCUAUUCAAAACAGCUUAAACCCCGCUGGGCCUAAGCGGAUUAGUGAAACUAUUAUAAUAAGAUGCUUAAUAGCCCGAGAAGAUUUAUGAAGUACAUACCUAUAAUUUGGGUAUUUUAAAAUAUUUUUUCUCUCUCUAACUUAUGUACAGCUGGUUCCUAAAAAAACUGAUACGACUCUUAAAGCGUAUUUUGUAGAAAAUUGAGCAGUGUAUUUUGAAGGAUAAAAUUUGUUAUUUACACACUGUCACUGCCAAAUCUUAAAAUUUGUCAGAUAACUUAUUCUAUUCAGUCUCAAAAAAUGGCUCCACAUGCUAGCAAAGAGCUAGAAGCAAGAAUUGUAACGAAAUUGGAAGAUGUUUGGUCAGUAUCUGCCAUAGCGAACCAUUUUAACGUAAGCAGAACAACAGAUUUAAAACAAUUCUUACUUUAAUAUAUUGUUGAGUUAAGUCGUUUAUUUUAUUCCUUAAUAAUAUUAAAAAUAAUAACAACAACCCUAUUUUAUGUAAAAACUGUCAUUUAUUAUACUCUUUAUAAAAUGCAGGAAUUCAAAAUAAUAUCAAAAUUUAGACCUUAAUAAUUAUUUCAAUUUAUGAAUUAACAUAUGUAAUCAGCUGUUUGUUGUUUGUUUGUUUAUUUUAUUAUUUGUCUGUCAUAAUAAAUAUAAUAUAAUGUCAGACCAAUCAAAAUUUGAUUGGUCGGUAUUUAAUACACUGCUCAAAAUGAUCAAAUCUUACUAAGAGUCGUAUCAGUUUUUUUAGGAACCAGCUGUACCUACCCAUUUGAUUUCAGAUUGAUUUAUAUCAAUUUCUGCUCUUAUUAUUGAAAAUUAAGAGUUAUCGCAAUGAUAAGAAUUGACCGUUAAAUUGAAACGAAUAUAUUCAUAUAAAUUUUAUUGAAUUUAAGUGACAUUAUAUUUUCCAUAAGAUGUGUGCGAUGUCCUUUCUUUCUGACAUUGCUUUGGUUAUUCCAUGUUGUGCGUAGUCUGGUCGUUUUCUGUUCUUCGGCGGAAUCCAUAUUAUUGUCUUUUUUGGAAGCCGUUCCUCUUCCAUUCGACUUCCGUGUCCUUCUUCUUUUUCUUUGGGUGCUGCAAACUAUGCAGCGUGUAGGCGUUCAUACUGGUUAUCGAAUGUACAGUACACUCUUCUUAGUAACGAGCAGUAAUUCAGUAGGUUUCCUGUUAUUUUUGUUUUCUUUAAACAAUAUAUUGACAAAAUCGCUCAACAAAAUUAAAGCGUAAUAUAAAUCCGGCUCGAAAGACCAUAAAAAUAUGGAAGUGAUUACCAAAAAUUUAGUUUUUUGAAGCAUACUUUAUUUCUCUACUGUCUAGUCUCAAAAUAUGAGCCAUACACGAUAUAACUUGUAAGCUGCAUUGUUGGUAUUAACCCGGGCACACUCCCGCUCUCUUCUGCCACGUAAGCAGUCGCGCUUUAGAUUAAAUCUUACAAUACAAAUUUAAAUACGAAUUUAAAACAAAUUUUUUAUUUUAUAAUAUUUUUAUUUACUUUUUAUUUUAAAAAUAUUUAUUUCUAAUAAUUUUAAAGCUAAUUGGUUCCCACCAAAGCGAUAAAUUCCAUAAAAAAAUAUCUACGGAUUACUACAAUCUUAGUACCUACUACAAGUUAUCACGGAAAAGGAUAAAAUGUUAGAUUAUUUCUAACGGGGCGACUGCUCCCGGGUUAAACUAUUACUUGUCAUUAGGCUGCCAGUAACUCUAAAAUCUAAAUGAAAAUAUGAAGUAUCCAUUAUUAUGUCUAUUGUCUGUUAAUUUAUAUUUAAACUCCGAUGGAAAUUAUUAAUUAUAAGAUUUUUACAAAAUUUACUAUUAAUUUUUUAAAUUAUAUUAGACCGUAGGAACUGCAAUACUUGUAUUGCAGGCUAAAACAUUGUAUUGGUGCCUUAAUGUUAUUAUGACACAAAACUUCCAAUUAUUAAAAUGCACCAAAACCAAUAUACACUCUAUAUGAAAUAUUUAUUCUGUUUUUAAUUUGAGUUGAACGUUUUAUAUAUCUAAUUUUGUAACAUAAGCAGUUUAGGAAGACCAUAAUUGUUUUGUGGUUUUUAUCGAACUAUAAAUAGAAAAUCUUACUCCCAAGAGCUUAUCUUAAGACAAAACGGUUUGUAACUUAUUGAUGCCUUUUUUUGUUGUGUUUUUCAACGAGUUUGGAACUUUUUCCUAAAGAUUUCUUACUACUACAUCGGUUUACAGCGUUCUCCGACGGCUUUCAACUCCUAACCGGCAUUCUUCUUUGUUUAACCAUAUACCUGGAGGAUUUUUCUUUCUUAUAGUUCUUUUUCGAUUCCCUCCCUCUAGUUUCUUCUCGGCCUUACUCUUUUCCUUCUCCUUUGUGGUGUCUACUUCAAAAUCUGUUUAGGGAUCCUGUCAUCUAACAUUCUCUGUACAUGGCCGUACCAUAUUAGGUGUUUUGUUUUUAUGUCAUUAUUCCGUUGGUGGGUGUGUUAACGGAAACAAUUAUAUAAAAUAAUAUUAAUUAAAACGCAAGCAAUUUUCAAUAAUAUACCUAGUCAUUUUUGGAUAAACAAGCGUGCUUCGUUUAUUAUCUCGUAAGGGUUUUGUUGUUGUUUUAGCGAGGGUGUGUCUGAACCGCGCGCCUGCUGUGUCGAUACUGCGAGACCACCACACUCUAUUAUGUCACCAUGCUUGCGGUUUUACAAUAUGGCUAGAAAGGCAAUAAAUUACUACAUCUGCGUUUUAAAAGAUGAGAACCUUUCUGUAUUUUAAGAAGUUACAUAAAGAGCGUGGCAAUCUGGCCUCGAAAUCUAUUAGUGUUUCCUUGAAAAAAAGAUUAAUUUUAUACAAUCUGCUUAGGGAUACAUUUCGUUUCUUAAACUUAACGGCCCUUGUAUAUUAAAUGAGAAUUUUAAAUGACUAAUGUUAUUUCGUUUUGAGAAAAGUUAUUAAAAAUUUAGCAAAAAUAGUAAUUAAAGCAUGUCGCUAUCAUUAAUUUAUAUCGUCAUCAUUAAUUUAUUGUGUGCGUGACUCCCAUCAUUUCUCGUAUUCUCUCAUUUGGUAUCCGAGCUCUUCUUGAUUUGCCUGCUGCUUUUCUCCAGAAGUCCAUUUCUGUUCCCAGUAACAUUUUCUCUGUUCUUUUUUGGUACCCUAAACUUUUUGUAUACAGUAGCUUUACACUCUCAUGGUUUAAAUGGUAAAAUGGCAUAGGUUGUACCGUACUUAUUUUAUUUAUUAACUGAUUUGCCUCGAUGUGCUCUUUUUUUCGAAUCUGUUUGGGAGUACCGCUUUAACUUUUAGCAGAUGAUGAUCGGUGCCACAUGAUGGCCCUCUGGCUACCCGCAGAUCUUGUAUUUUAAUUGUAGUUCUCUGUCUUCUCUGAAUUACAAAAUACUCCGCACAAUGCGGCACAAACCUUAUGGAAAUUAGGUCCCCGUGGAUUUAGUUCAUACUUUGGGAAUAUACCUCCUGAAGCAUCCUGAUAAAAAGUUCUCAUGGGCAAAUCUCGAUCGUAUGGAAGAUUUUCAAGAUAUAGAGGCACAAACUUGGAAAAUUAUAAGAUUUACCGGGUAUUCCAAUUCCCUGAGUUACUGGUUAUCUGGCAACAUGUAGAAGUAUGGAUUAAAUAAAACUACUAGUAGUCUAGAAUUUUUUCCUGGCUAUCCAAUGGCUACCUUUACUUUGACCUUGACCUUCAACGGACGUCAUCUUCUAGAGUUUCAAGGGUUUUCAGCAUUAAAUUGAUAUAAACAGAUGGGUUUUUGGGAUCGCUAAACACGAAUAUACCAUCAGAAUUGACCUCCAAAGGACGUGAUGGCCAGGGCCACUACAAGGGACAUCAUCUUCUAGAGUUUCGAUGGUUUUCGGCAUUUAAUUGAUGCAAAUGAAUUACUGAAGGGUUUUUUGAGGUCGCCAAACACUAAUAUGCCACCAGAACCGACUCCCGGGACACCUGGUUUCCAAGAUCAAUGAAAGGGGAUCCUGGAGUUUCGAGGGUCUUCGGUACUACAUUGAUGCAAUCGGAUUACUCAUAGGUUUUUGGAGUUGCUGACAGUGGCGGCUCGUAUAACUUUAGGAAGGUAGUGCCAGAAUCCGGGCAGCUGCCUAAAUUUUUUGUGGCGGUUUUACGAUAUGGUCAAAAAGGAUAUAAAAUAUAAAUAGAGUAUCACGAUAAGCUGAAUUUAAUUGGGUUUUUAUAUUUAACUUACCAAGCAUUGAAAAGCUAAAAACGUUAUUCAUGUGCACUUUAGAUUUUUCAUGGGAUUUCAAUUUCUCCCAUAUAUGUACAAGAUCAUCGGUGCCUUUGUUUGACCAAGUCUCGUCACCUCCAAACAAAACGCAUACAAAACAGAAGAGUUUAUUAGUUUGUUCGCAACCACACAACCAGCUAUUUUUAUCAUAAAUAAUUUUAUUAAACUUACGACAGCGAAGUUUUUGUCCAUUUCCACUUUGUUUUUCAAUUUUUAAAUCGGGUAAAGGCCGACCGAGUUCUUUAAUUUGUAGUUUUUUUUCUAACGAAAAACCACCAAAAGAGUUUUUUAAUAUACUAAUUUGAUUCAUUGUCAAUAAAUAAAUUAAACGUAGAAAAUAAUCAAAAUAUUAUUUUUAUACCUACGACACCCACGAUCACAACGCACUAACUAAUAAUUACAAAUUAAAAAAUAUAGUAGAGUAUAAACACAAAUAUACAAUACAGUAGUAGACAAUAAACACAAUAGCGUCAAGCGAACGCGUAAAGAAACUAGAAAUAUGUAGAUCUAAAACAUUGUAUCUUAAGAUCCACUAACUUCCUUUUCGAGAUUUCGAGCCUGGCACGGAGACUCCAAUUUAAACGUAUGUUAAAAGUGCAAUACCGCUCUCUCUCUGUCACUUACACAGGAUGCUCAUACAAUCUUUCUCUUUUCUCACGAGCCACUAUGCCGUUCGGCACUGGGAUUUUUAUGAUUUUCAUCCUUUAUCCGGUCAGCUGUGGGUGGCCAGAGUCGGUAGAUUUGCAUUGCGCUACACAGUUGCCAGAUUUGAUAUAAUUUAUAAAAAUAAAGAGAAAUAUUCACAAAAAAAUAAACAGGCAUUAAAAUGUUUUUAAGAUAAAAAAUAUGUUUCUGCAUAGUUAGCAAGGUAGUGCCAUGGCUCUAUGGCACUACCUCACGGGCCGCCACUGGUUGCUGAACACGAAUACCUCAUCAGAACAGACAUCGUAGUACCUGGUGCCUAAGACACGUUAUGCUUUGGAGAUUCGAGAGCUUUCGGUACUAAAUUAAUGUAAACUGAUUACUCACAGGUUUUUGGGACUGCUGAACGUGAAUACGCAAUCAGAUCCGACCCACGGAGCACCUGGUGCCUAAGGCAGGUCUUCUUCUGGAGUUUCGACAGGUUUCGGCAUUAAAUUGAUGCAGAUGGGUAUCCGGACACCGGGGUACCUAUUGCCUAAGGCAUCGUUUCCCAACCGGUGGGUCGCGGAAAGAUUUCAGGUGGGUCGUGGAAAGAUUUCAGGUGGGUCGUGGAGUGGCUCUGACAGUAGCUGAGUGACGUACAGAGUACAUAAUAACGUAUCAUCAUGAAUGAGGGAUGGGUCACGAAUAUGAAAAAACAUCAGAAAGUGGGUCGCCAGGCGGAAAAGGUUGGGAACCACUGGCCUAAGGCACGUCAUCUUCUGACGUUAGGAGAGUUUUCGGUACUAAAUUGAUGCAAGCGGAUUACUCUUGUGUUUUUGUGGUUGCUGAACACGAAUAUGACUUAGAUAAAAGACUCUGGAGUAUCUAGUGACCACGAUCAAUAACACUAUCAAAAUAGAAUAUAGUAAAUCGAUCUUACAAUAAAUAAAGGAAAAACAUUGCCAGAUAUAAAUUGAGUUUAUAUUUAUAAAUAAUUAAAACAAUUGAAGAGCACAACCUAGUUAUUUUAAUAAAAAUCUAAGCAAAAAACAACUUUUUACCAAUUUGUACGCUUUCUUUGAACAGCAACUCAGAAAACCUCCGAGUACUCGGUGAAACUAGAGUACCCAGAGUACUCAGAAAACUCGAAACUAUACAAGAUGAUGUGCCUUAGGCACCAGGUACUCCGAUGUCUGUUCUGAUGGGGUAUUCAUGUUCAGCAACUCCAAAAACCUAUGAGUAAUUCGUUUGCAGCAAUGUAGUACCGAAGACCCUCGAAACUCCUGGAGCCCCCUUCAUUGACUUUGGAAAGCAGGUGCUCCGGGAGUCAAUUCUGAUGGCAUAUUCGUGUUUUGCGAUCCCAAAAAUCCAUGAGUAAUCUGUUUAUAUCAAUUUAAUGCCGAAAACCCUCGAAACUGUAGAAGAUGAUGUCCGUUGAAGGUCAAGGUCAAAGUAAAGGUCGCCAUUGGAUAGCCAGAAAAAAUCCUAGACUACUAGUACUUUUCUUUGAUCCAAACUGCUACAUGUUGCUAGAUGACCAGUAACUCAUUGAAUUGGAACAGGGGCGGCCCGUCAGUUACAAUUAUUAUGGUUUCAAGUUUAUUUUUCGGAUACAAUGAUAUGCAAAAAUGAUGUUGUAUCGCAGACUUAAAAUGCGUUUAUCUCGAAAACAGUUGAAGUUAGCGAGAUGAAUGUAGUAUACCUUUUUUAAGUAAAAAUAUUAAGAGAAUAAAAAUGUUGAUUCAAAAAGUACGUGGAGUGGGAGAUAAAAAUAAUUGAACGUAUUAAAUGAGCGCUGAAAGACGUAUGUAGCGCCCUCUGGGUAAUACAUCAUUUUUGGUGGAAAAUUUAGAUUUCUCAUCCCAAAAACCCCCGCCUACCAAAUUUCGUGCUGUUAUCCCAUGUCUGUCAGGAAAUAUUCAAGAAUAAAUACAAUAAAAGUUUAACUUUGACACCCUGUAUUUCGGUUAUUAUCAACUUUCGUACUAAGGUAAGUUAGCUUAAAUCGACCUAUUUUAACCUCAGGAAUGUAAGGUUAAGCUAUGGCAUGGUCCAUUAUUUACACCCUGUGCCUAUAUAGGUAUGUACAUAUUAUAUUAUACACUGUAUGUGUCGCCUACCCGUAUACUGAGGUCACGAGCCGCCACUGAAUUGGAAUACCCAGUAAAUCUUAUAAUUUUCCGAGUUUGUGCCUCCAUAUUUUGAAAAUCCUCCAUACGAUCGAGGUGUUGCCCAUGAGAACUUUUCAUCACAAUGCUUCACAGAGUAUUUUCCCAAAGUAUGAAUUAAAUCCACUGAGACCUAAUUUCCAUAAGGUUUGUACUUUAUCAAAAUUUGUAAUUCAGUGAUGCCUUUUUUAUUGUGUGUUUUUUAAAGAUUUUAGACGUUGUUCAUAAAGAUUUCUUACAUGUUUCCCUUGUUUUUUUUUUUCAAUUACCUUUGCCCAUCAAAUCUGCUUUGGAAUAUGACCUAAUAUAGAUCGUUUUAAAACCAAAUUUUCUACCUUGAUCGAUACUUCUUGACAUUUGCUGAUGGUCGUUUUAGUUUAUAAUAUUCGUGUGUGUAUUACAAGAAUAGAGACUAAAUUUUCUGUAUUACGCAUUUGGGCUCUCGCUAUCAGGUUAAUCGGAUUUGUAUUAAUCCGACUUUUACCGCAAUCGUUUGAAUAUGUAAUACGGUAAUCUUCGUAAAAUCACUUAAUCGAUUUUACGUAGUAACAAGUCUUUUACUCAACACGUACACACGCACACACAUACUGUGGUUACUCACAUCAAUCUGCCACUGAUUUUUAGGAUGACCACAUGAAUGGUCAUUUGGACUGAUCUUCUUGUACGCUUUUUAUUUACUUACAUCUGGUUAAAAAUUCGAACAAGCCUUUUACACUGCUAUCUUGUCUAUUUGUUACAAUUCUUGUUUUCUUAUCCUGUAUUUUUUUUCAUAUUUUUUGUAUAUGUAUGUUUAUUGAUUUAAUAAUAAAUAUUUUAAAUACACUCGCGAUCAUAAAAAGCGGGUCACUCGAUGAGUUAUUCAAGUUAGAUGUCUCGAAUUUUCUAAAUCUGUUGUCCAAUUUGAGUGAUUUUUUAGUAUGUUAUAGCCUUAUUCUUUAGCAAUAUCGCUAUAAUAAUAUUGUUGCUAGACCGGUAAAUUGUCAUUGUAUACCGGGUGUAACAAUCAUACUGUGUUUAUUCCUAAAAGUUCGGAACACCCUGUGGAAUGUUUUAGCAUAAAUAAAAUAUUGAAAUUAAAACUAAAUUGUAGCCUUACGCUCUCUUAACAUUUUCUUUUUUGAUUUAUUUGUUUAUGUUGGAUAAUAAAAAAAGUAAGCACGUUAAUAACUAGCCAUGUGUCUUCAUCAAUACAUGGUGUUUUUAAAUAAGUGCGACAAACUUUAAGGGGUAAUUCUGUAUGAAAAAAUAAUGACAGUUUGCUUUAUAAACGUAAUGCUUCGUUUCCGAGAUACGGGAUGUUAAAAUUUUCCUUACAAACUGACGAUUUAUUUAUUGCUCUAAAACCAAUAGAGAUAUGCAAAUGAAAUUUGGUAGGUUUGAAGAGGCAGUUAUUGUGGAUUUUUUGACAUAAAAUUAAUAAUUCUAUAUUCACCAUUGGCGUACAUACGGGUAUAAACAUUUUAGAUACAUCCCGUAUGCACGCCAAUGGUGAAUAUAAAAUUCUUAAUUGUAUGUCAAAAAUGCGCCAUAACUACCUCUUAACAUCUACCAAAUUUCAUUUGCAUAUCUCAACCGGUUUUAGAGCAAUAAAUAAAUCGUCAGUUUGUAAGAAAAAAAUCAACAUCCCGUAUCUCGAAACCGAAGAAUUUACGGUCAUAUGUUUAUAAAGCAAACGGUCAUUAUUUUUUCAUGCAGAAUUGCCCCUUAAAGUUUCUCGCACUUAUUUAGAAACACCCUGUAUUGAUGAAAAACAUGGUUAGUUGUUAAGGUGCCUAACUUUUUUAUUAUCCAACAUAAACAAAUAAAUCAAACAAGAAAAUGUUAAGAAAGCCUAAGGCUACAAUCGAGUUUUAAUUUCAAUAUUGUAUAUAUGCUAAAACAUUCCACGGGGUGUUUCGAACUUUGAGGAAUAAACACAGUAUGAUUGUUACACCCGGUAUACAAUGAUAAUUUACCUGUCUAGCAACAAUAUUAUGGCGAUAUUGUUAAAGAAUAAGGCUAUAACAUACUAAAAAAAUCACUCAAAUCGGACAGCAGGUUUAGAAAAUUCGAAGAAAUCUAACUUGAAUAACUCAUCGAGUGACCCGCUUUUUAUGAUCGCGAGUGUAUUUCAUGGUUAUACAACAUAAUUUUAACGUUUUAUUAAAUCCUAGAAACACAAACUUUUGUCUUAGGUACAAGCUCCACCCUGAAAUAAAAAAAAUUAGAUUUUUCAUUGGAAAAAACAAAAAGCUUAGCUUUUUUAAUUGUAAAAAUAUACAACAACUUAGACAACAUUUUUUAAUAGUAAUGUUUAUGAUUUUUUACUAAUGGUAUAUUGUAAAUAAAUAUGUUUAUUGUUGAUUGGAUAUUUAGAAAAUCCUAAUAUUAUAUUUUUAUACCAGCGGUUUAGGUGUCAAAUAAAUACGUAUAUGAUGUGUGAGGGGUAAUAAUUAGCAUAAAAACGUUAAUGACUUAUAGAAAAAGUUUAAUUUUUUAUAUAGUUGUAUUUGCACUUUAUGAAAAAAAAUGUGUCGACCAAAACGUGCCAACUGGUUUUUAAAUACACUUUUUGCAAUAUUUCUUUUGA
rnacentral:misc_RNA from 1 species